rnacentral:rRNA from 1 species
UAAUUUAUUUAAGGUCUAAUCUGCCCAGUGAUUAAUUAAAUGGCCGCAGUAAUUUGACUGUGCGAAGGUAGCAUAAUCAUUAGUUUUUUAAUUGAAAGCUUGUAUGAAUGAUUGGACGAGAAAAAUACUGUCUCUUAUUAAUUUAUAAAAUUUUAUUUUUUAGUUAAAAAGCUAAAAUUUUAUUAAAAGACGAGAAGACCCUAUAAAGCUUUAUAUUUAUUAAAUUUAUUAAAUUUUGGUAUUUUUUAUUUUUUAAUUUUAUAUAAUAUUGGGUUGGGGAAAUUUAAAGAUUAAAGUAAUUCUUUAUUUUUAUACAUACAUAUAUGUUUUUUUGAUCCUUUAUUAAAGAUUUAAGAUUAAGUUACUUUAGGGAUAACAGCGUAAUUUUUUUGGAGAGUUCAUAUCGAUAAAAAAGUUUGCGACCUCGAUGUUGGAUUAAAAUUAAUUUUGGGUGUAGUAUUUCACAAAAUUUGGUCUGUUCGACCAUUAAAAUUUUACA